GUUCUACCUUCUCUCACCCAUACCCUUUACUGCUCGUCUCAACGCUUCUCCAAGCAAGAGCUGGAACAUGAGGCUUUCUACUAUGGCAUGGAGUCGAAGCUCUAAUGUGUGAUGUCUCCACCUCAAUCUGGCAUCAGUGCCUCCCUCGUUACCACUAGCCACCUGGCCUCUGAUAGCCUCCCCUCCACCUUCACUAUUGCAGCUAGAGAUGACUUCCCUCCACCCUAACUGUUGAUUUCUCCAAUGGUGAUGGAGUUACAUG
rnacentral:misc_RNA from 1 species